rnacentral:rRNA from 1 species
UACGGGGGGAGCAAACGUUGUUCAGAAUCACUGGGCGUAAAGGGCGCGUAGGCGGCCAGAUAAGUGGGGUGUUAAAUCUCCCGGCUCAACCGGGAACCUGCACCUCAUACUGCUUGGCUUGAGUACAGCAGAGGAGACUGGAAUUCCCGGUGUAGCGGUGAAAUGCGUAGAUAUCGGGAGGAACGCCCGUGGCGAAAGCGAGUUCCUGGACGUCGGCUGACGCUGAGACGCGAAAGCCAGGGGAGCGAACGGG